rnacentral:rRNA from 1 species
UACGGAGGGGACUAGCGUUGUUCGGAAUGACUGGGCGUAAAGCGCACGUAGGCGGACAUUUAAGUCAGGGGUGAAAUCCCGGGGCUCAACCUCGGAACUGCCUUUGAUACUGGGUGUCUGGAGUGUGGAAGAGGUGAGUGGAAUUCCGAGUGUAGAGGUGAAAUUCGUAGAUAUUCGGAGGAACACCAGUGGCGAAGGCGGCUCACUGGUCCACAACUGACGCUGAGGUGCGAAAGCGUGGGGAGCAAACAGG